AAUUGCAGUCCUUGUGUCUUAGACUGCUUUUCAAGUUUACCUAGGACCCCAAAGUACUUCAGCCCAUGCUGGCAAGGUUUGCUGAGAAACUCAAAUUCUGACUGCUGGAAUGGGGCAAUUCCCCUCUGGCUAGGGCUGGUCCAACUUCUUCCAUGCACAGGCACUGGCUGAUCCCAGUGUGGCUUUAUUCUCUACUGUGACAGGACAUUACUGAGUUCAAUGUAAAGUCCCCCAGUCGCUGAGCUCUCCUUCCCCAAAGGGCACAGAUUGUCUUUCUGCACUGCACAGUCAUUGUCCAGAGGUGGGAGAAAGGGCAUUGGCAAUUCAAGACUGUCUAUCUUGCCCUCCUCAAUGCCUCUUUUGACAAUAUGAAGUUAAAACCAGGUACUGUGAUUGCUCACCUGAUUUUGGUUCUUGUGAUGUUGCUUUUCUGUGUGGAGGUAGUUGUUAAAAUUUGGUGUUUUAGCAGGGGAGAACAAUGGUGUAGGCUUCUGUUUUGUCAUCUUGCUCCAUCCUCUCUCCUUGGGUAUUUUACAUUACAAUUUAAUUUCCAUAGAAAUUAUAGGGCUGUUCAGACGAGAUCGGGCACAUUCCGGGUGGUAUGGCCGUAGGCUAUAGGCCUAUUCAAAUGGUCUAUUUCAUAUUGGGUCUGCCGUGAUAUCUCCUGUUUCAUUCCUGCAUCGUUAGAUAUUCUGGCAUCUCUGGCAUCUUGAUGUUAUCACGUAUGAAUUUUUUUUUGUCGUUUAAUUUCAGAUAUUCCUGGUUCUUGCUGUGAUGAGUAGUUUUUGAUGGAAACUUUUCAAUCAUCAAACAAUACAUUUUCAUAUUUUGUUAUAAGGUUCUGGAUUUUAUUUGAGCUUUUGGUUUUAGCUGGCUUUAUUUUACUACACUCUGUUAGAGGAAGGGACACUGCCUCAUUACUGCCAGGUGGAGGGACAAGUUCAGACUCUCCAAAAGGUCUGCAUGAACACCAUGGCAGGGGUGGCUUUUAUUCUGGCUGAUAGGGUAAACGUCCUUGCUCCUGCCUUGCCUUCCUUGACAUACCUUUGUUAUAUCCUUCUGUGUGUGGAAGCCUAGACUCCCCAUUUGGCCUUUGCUGGUGGAUGUGGAGUAAAAAACAAAACAGGCAUAGAGCCAGAAGAGCAAAGAAAGCAGCAAAGAGGUCCAUCCACUUAUGAGAGAACUGAAUAAAUAGCCAGAAGAUGGAAAACAAGGGAAAUAAAUGAUGACAAAGUAGAGAAAGAGACAGACCAACUACACGAAGAAGUUUGCUUCCAAGGAAAUCCUUCUCCAGUGACCAGAGGAAUGACCAGCUCCCCACCUUCUCACUGUCCAGCAGUCCCUGCUAACCCACAGGAAGAGGGAGAGAUACCAGGAGCACACACACAGAGAGAGAACACCACUUGAGGACACAGUUGAGACGAUGACCCUCUGCAAGCCAAGAAGAGAGGCCUCCCCAGAAACCAAACCUGCUGACACCUUGAUCUUGGACUUCCAGCCUCCAGAACUGUGAGAAAAUAAGUUUCUAGGUUUAAAUGACUCGUCUAUGGGGCUUUGUUCAUGGCAGUCUGAGUUGACUAAUGCAUACGCUAACCAUUUCAUGUACUUAUUUUGCAUACUGCCUGUCUUCCUUUUAGAAUGUAAACUUCACCUGGAGAGGAAUUUUUAUCUGUUUUUUUCACCACUGGAAUUCUUAGUACUGAUAAGGUGCCUUAGCUGUAGUAAGAAUCAAGUACUACUUAUUGAAUGAAUAAACAAAUAGGUGAGAAAACAGUCCUGGUUUACACUGCUUUCUUUUUAUCUCUGUGGUAGACUAAUUGCAAAAAUGGCUCUAACUGUUCAUUGCUCUUUUACAUGCCCUUUGCCAUGUGUCUUUGCAGCUCUUCCUAUACAAAGGUAGAAUCUGUUUUUUUUUUUUUUUUUUUUUUUUUGAGAUGGAGUUUCACUGUUGUCACCUAGGCUGGAGUGUAGUGGUGCCAUCUUGACUCACUGCAACCUCCGCAUCCCGGAUUCAAGAGAUUCUCAUGCCUCAGCCUCCCGAGUAGCUGGGAUUACAGGCGCCUGCCACUAUGCCCAGCUAAUUUUUGUAUUUUUAGUAGAGAGAUGAGGUUUUGCCAUGUUGGCCAGGCUGGUCUCGAACUCCUGAUUUCAGGUGAUCCACCUACCUCAGCCUCCCAAUGUGCUGAGAUUUCAGGCGUGAGUCACCAUGCCCAGCCCAAAAAUAGAAUCUUUAUCCUCUUCCUUUGAAUGUGAUUUGGCUUUUUGACUCACCUUUGCCAAUAAAAUAUUGCAGAAGUAUCAGUGUGUCAGUUCCAGACCUAGGUGUCCAGAGGCCUUACCUGCUUCCAUUCUCCUUCUUAGAACUCUUUGUCAUAAAAGCAAUCCUAGGCUAGCCUAUAGAAAGACAAAUGACCAUGUGAAAAAGAGAGAAAUUAUCCUAGCUAAGAUAAUUCUAAACCAGUCAGCCUCCCUGCUAGUUGACCACAGACAUACAAUGAGACAGGAUUACCUUAGCCAACUUUAGCCAAGACCAGUAAAGCUGCCUAGCUGACCCACAGAUUGGCGGGCAACAAUACAUAUUUAUUAUUUUAAGCCAGCAAGGUUUUGCAGUUUUAGCUAUUACAGCAUUAUAGCAGCAAUAGAUAAUUGUAUCUGACAGUGGUCCCAAAAAGUAUUUUGUGUUUCAGAGAUGUCUCUUCUCUUUAAGUGGCAGACUAACUUAAAAGAAAGCUUAUGGGCUCUGGAACCAGAUUGAAUUGGGUUCAAAUCCUAGCUGCAAUCACUUACCAUAUGACCUAGUGCAAGUUACUUAACCUUUUGACCUUCGCAUUAUUUGUAAACUAAAGAUAGAAAUACUUGCUCAGAGCUUUUGUGAGACUUAAAAGAACUCUCAUGUGAAGUACCUGAUACAACUACUGAUAUUGAUCUAAAAAACAUCACAAAUUUUCCCUUAUAACUACUCUGUGGCUGAAUCAUCAAUAGAUUAAUCUAAAUGCCUGUAGAAAGUCUACUUUUUGUCUUAUUAGACAGAAAUUAUUAGGCAUCAGCCUGGUAUACUUGCUAUUGACUCUUCAAAGCUGUACUUUCUUUUAGUCAUUCUAACUGACAGUUUUCAACUUUAAGGGAUGGCCUUAAAGCCGAUAAAGUCCAGGUUUUAGUGACUUGAUUUAUUUCUACUGUAUUUGUACCCUUCAUGAUGUCAUUGAGUUAGGCCAGAAGGCUUCUCAGUUUUCUAUAUUUGAACAAAAGAGGCCUAAUUUCCAAACAUCAACAUAGAGGAAAGUGAAUGCUCUUGAUUCAGUGCCAUAUACCUGGAAAAUAACUGAGGUAUUCCCAGCAGCUGCUGGUAGCCUCCGAUAAGUCCAAGUGAAAUAUGGGCAUCUAAAUGCAAAGACAGAGGCCCUGUCCAUUCAAAGUCCCACAAAUCAGCCUGUAAAUAUGUAGGCAGCUAUGUGUUUGAAUAUUUAUUCUUGUAUUUUAUGCAGCUUCUUCAAUAAGAAUUAGAGAAGCAGGUUAAAUUUGAUGCAAUGUCUUAGGCAUUAGAUUCAAUUUAGAGAAAUACAUGCUAAAGAGAAAUAAGGUUUUUUUAAAAAAAUUUACUUUAUUUUUUAACAGGAAAUUAGCUUAAGCACUGCUUUCAGGUAAAACCAUUCUAUAACUGACAUCAUUUUUAAGUGCUCUAUAUUGAUUAAACACUUUAGCUAGAUUUGUAAGUCUGAUCAGAAAAUAUGAGUUGUAAAUCACGAUGUGAUUUUUCCUUUGAUCCCAUUUAAACAUUUUCUCCUUUGGAUCACAUGAUAACUUCUGAUAAAAUUCUGGAAACUAAAAUCCAUUUAAUUGGUAAUGAUGUUUCUUGUGAAAACGCUUAACACACAAUUUUGUUAAAAUGCAGGAACAUGAAUGUAUUGGUAUCUGCUUUUCUCAAGAAUAAAAUUGAUUUCUUCAUACUAAUCAUCUCUUCAAUAAACUGUCCCUCUUCUAGUCAAGUCAUUAAAAUGAUUC
rnacentral:lncRNA from 10 species